rnacentral:piRNA from 1 species
UGCCCUCAAGAGUCUUUGGGAGGCUCAGGA